CAGGCCUAGACCAUAAAACAUCUAGAUAGCCAUCACCAGAGCUGGACACAAGGAAUUUCAUAGAGUGGGCAAUAGACUGCCAGACCAGCCCCCUCUGAUCCCCCCCCCCAGGGGUCUGCCCACUGAGAAACAACUAGUUUAGAUAUAUGAGGGUGUUGGACUAUCCAGGGAGUCAGUUAUUCAUUUUUCUUUUUGUCAGUAACUUCUAG